AAAAACAUUUUUAUUAGAAUUAAUUAAUAAUAAAACCUGCUCAAUGAAAUUUAAAUAGCCGCUUUUGUGCUAAGGUAGCAUAAUAAUUUGUCUUUUAAUUAAAGACUAGAACAAAAGGUUUAACAUCUCAAUUAAUGUUUUAUAAAAAACCAUUUAAAUUAUUUUAAUUGUAAAAAAACAAUUUUAAAAAAGAAAGACGAUAAGACCCUAUCGAACUUUACUUUAGUUUAACUGGGGCAGUUAAUUAAUUAUUAUUUUAAUAAAAAUUAAAUAUUUAAUUUGACCUAAUACUAUUAAUAAAAUAAUUAAGUUACCGUAGGGAUAACAGCGUAAUAAAAUUUUUAAGAUCUCAUUUAAAAUAAAGAUUGCGACCUCGAUGUUGAUUUAAUAACCUAAUUUACGCAAUAGUUAAUUAAGGAAGUCUGUUCGACUUUUAAAAAAUUACAUGAUUUGAGUUCAGACCGGUGUAAACCAGGUCGGUUUCUAUCUUCUUAAAAAUUCUUCUAGUACGAAAGGACCUAAGAAAAUAAUAAUAUU
rnacentral:rRNA from 1 species